GUCCUUUAGAUUUUAAUUUAAGGUCUAACCUGCCCACUGAAUUUAAUUUAAAUGGCCGCAGUAAUUUGACUGUGCAAAGGUAGCAUAAUCACUAGUUUUUUAAUUAAAAGCUUGUAUGAAGGGUUGGACGAGGUAAAAUCUGUCUCUAUUUAAUUUAAUUUAGAAUUUAACUUUUAAGUCAAAAGGCUUAAAUUUAAUUAAAAGACGAGAAGACCCUAUAGAUCUUUAUAAUUUAUUUAUUAAAGUUAAUUAAGAAUUUUUUAAAUUUUAUUAAUGUAAUUAUUUUAUUGGGGUAAUAUAAAGAUUAUAAAAAUUCUUUUUUUUUAUUUACAUUAAUUUAUGUUUAUAUGAUCCAGUUUUAUUGAUUAUAAGAUUAAGUUACCUUAGGGAUAACAGCGUAAUUUUUUUAAAGAGUUCUUAUCGAUAAAAAAGUUUGCGACCUCGAUGUUGGAUUAAAGAUUAUUUUAGGUGUAGAAGCUUAAAAAUUUGGUCUGUUCGACCAUUAAAUCUUUACAUGAUCUGAGUUCAGACCGGCGUAAGCCAGGUCGGUUUCUAUCUUUAGUUAAUUAAAAUAUUUUAGUACGAAAGGACCAAUUAUUUAAUAUAUAUAUAUUUAAUUUUUUUGAUUAUUAUUAA
rnacentral:rRNA from 1 species